UUGAGGUGCAAACAUGGAUGUUACAUUUGUUUCAAAAACCAAACCACAAAAAAAAGUACUUAGAAUAUCUUUUUUUUAUAAUUAAGUAAAAUCUACUUGAAUACACUUUGAAACAAGAGUACAACAAAAUAGAAUAUACUUCAAAUGUUGAAUAUACAAACUAUUAUAGCUCAAAUCUGAACACUGGUAAUU